AUGUCUUUCUUUCUUCUUAGCUUUGGUCGCAAAUUAACUGCAUCAACUUGUUUUCCAUUUUUACCACAAUCUGUGCUGUCCUUAGAUUUUUCAUGUGUUUUCUUUCUUCUUAGCUUUGGUCGCAAAAUAUUCACAUCAACUUGUUCCCCAUUUUUACUACACUCCUCCGUGUUUUCCUCAGUUUUUAUUACUGUUGGGCGCCAAAUAAUCGCGUCGUCUUGUCCUACCUUCUUAUCACACUUCUCCGUGUUGUCUUCGGUUUUUGUUAGCGUUGGUCGCAAAUUAACCGCGUCGUCUUCUCCCUUCACUUCACACUCCUCAGUGUUGUCCUCAGUUUUUGUUAGCGUUGGUCGCAAAGUAAUCGCGUCGUCUUCUCCCUUCACAUCACACUCCUCCAUGUUUUCCUCAGUUUUUGUUAGCGUUGGUCGCAAAGUAAUCGCGUCGUCUUCUCCCUUCACAUCACACUCCUCCGUGUUUUCCUCAGUUUUUGUUAGCGUUGCUCGCAAAUUAAUCGCGUCGUCUUCUCCCUUCACCUCACACUCCUCAGUUUUUGUUAGCGUUGGUCGCAUAUUAAUCGCGUCGUCUUCUCCCUUCACAUCACACUCCUCCAUGUUUUCCUCAGUUUUUGUUAGCGUUGGUCGCAAAGUAAUCACGUCGUCCUCUCCCUUCACCUCACACUCCUCAGUGUUGUCCACAGUUUUUGUUAGCGUUGGUCGCCAAAUAAUCGCGUCGUCUUCUCCCUUCACAUCACACUCCUUCGUGUUUUCCUCAGUUUUUGGUAGCGUUGGGCAAAAAACAGUCACCUCAUCUGAUUGCUCCUUGAUACCACAUUCUCCUUUGUUGUCCUUUACCGUUUCAUCCAUUUUAUAUUUUGUUAAGGCUAGUGAAAACGAAAUUAAACUGCUGACUGCAACCAUACACUGUAGAACUAGAGGGCUGCAACAAAUAAAUAUCGUGCAGAAAAGCGGACUCAGUCCACGCAGUCCACG
rnacentral:lncRNA from 1 species